GUAGGGUGCGAGCGUUAAUCGGAAUUACUGGGCGUAAAGCGUGCGCAGGCGGUUUUGUAAGUCAGAUGUGAAAUCCCCGGGCUUAACCUGGGAACUGCGUUUGAAACUACAAGGCUAGAGUGUGGCAGAGGGGGGUGGAAUUCCACGUGUAGCAGUGAAAUGCGUAGAGAUGUGGAGGAACACCGAUGGCGAAGGCAGCCCCCUGGGUUAACACUGACGCUCAGGCACGAAAGCGUGGGGAGCAAACAGGAUUAGAUACCCUGGUAGUCCACGCCCUAAACGAUGUCAACUAGUUGUCGGGUCUUAACGGGCUUGGUAACGCAGCUAACGCGUGAAGUUGACCGCCUGGGGAGUACGGUCGCAAGAUUA
rnacentral:rRNA from 1 species